AUCGCUUCUCGGCCUUUUGGCUAAGAUCAAGUGUAGUAACUCUUACCUUCUGUCUUUAAAUCAAUACUGUUU
ensembl:snRNA U2 U2 spliceosomal RNA